rfam:Arthroderma gypseum CBS 118893 supercont1.4 genomic scaffold, whole genome shotgun sequence.
GCCCUUGUAGCGUAGGGGUUAUCGCGUCAUACUUGUAAUUCAUAUUAUGUCAUAUGAAGGUCACCAGUUCGAAUCUGGUCGGGGGCA